GACGAACGCUGGCGGCGUGCUUAACACAUGCAAGUCGAACGGAAAGGCCCUGCUUUUGUGGGGUGCUCGAGUGGCGAACGGGUGAGUAACACGUGAGUAACCUGCCCUUGACUUUGGGAUAACUUCAGGAAACUGGGGCUAAUACCGGAAAGGAGCUCCGGCGGCAGGGUGGGGGUGGGAAAGUUUCGGCGGUUGGGGAUGGACUCGCGGCUUAUCAGCUUGUUGGUGGGGUAGUGGCUUACCAAGGCUUUGACGGGUAGCCGGCCUGAGAGGGUGACCGGCCACAUUGGGACUGAGAUACGGCCCAGACUCCUACGGGAGGCAGCAGUGGGGAAUAUUGCACAAUGGGCGGAAGCCUGAUGCAGCAACGCCGCGUGCGGGAUGACGGCCUUCGGGUUGUAAACCGCUUUCGCCUGUGACGAAGCGUGAGUGACGGUAAUGGGUAAAGAAGCACCGGCUAACUACGUG
rnacentral:rRNA from 1 species